rnacentral:rRNA from 1 species
UAACACAUGCAAGUCGAACGGGAAUUACUUUAUUGAAACUUCGGUCGAUUUAAUUUAAUUCUAGUGGCGGACGGGUGAGUAACGCGUGGGUAACCUGCCUUAUACAGGGGGAUAACAGUCAGAAAUGGCUGCUAAUACCGCAUAAGCGCACAGAGCUGCAUGGCUCGGUGUGAAAAACUCCGGUGGUAUAAGAUGGACCCGCGUUGGAUUAGCUUGUUGGUGGGGUAACGGCCCACCAAGGCGACGAUCCAUAGCCGGCCUGAGAGGGUGAACGGCCACAUUGGGACUGAGACACGGCCCAGACUCCUACGGGAGGCAGCAGUGGGGAAUAUUGCACAAUGGGGGAAACCCUGAUGCAGCGACGCCGCGUGAAGGAAGAAGUAUCUCGGUAUGUAAACUUCUAUCAGCAGGGAAGAUAGUGACGGUACCUGACUAAGAAGCCCCGGCUAACUACGUGCCAGCAGCCGCGGUAAUACGUAGGGGGCAAGCGUUAUCCGGAUUUACUGGGUGUAAAGGGAGCGUAGACGGUGUGGCAAGUCUGAUGUGAAAGGCAUGGGCUCAACCUGUGGACUGCAUUGGAAACUGUCAUACUUGAGUGCCGGAGGGGUAAGCGGAAUUCCUAGUGUAGCGGUGAAAUGCGUAGAUAUUAGGAGGAACACCAGUGGCGAAGGCGGCUUACUGGACGGUAACUGACGUUGAGGCUCG